rnacentral:rRNA from 1 species
GAUGAACGCUGGCGGCGUGCCUAAUACAUGCAAGUCGAGCGAACAGACGAGGAGCUUGCUCCUCUGACGUUAGCGGCGGACGGGUGAGUAACACGUGGAUAACCUACCUAUAAGACUGGGAUAACUUCGGGAAACCGGAGCUAAUACCGGAUAAUAUGUUGAACCGCAUGGUUCAAUAGUGAAAGACGGUUUUGCUGUCACUUAUAGAUGGAUCCGCGCCGCAUUAGCUAGUUGGUAAGGUAACGGCUUACCAAGGCAACGAUGCGUAGCCGAACUGAGAGGGUGAUCGGCCAGACUGGAACUGAGACACGGUCCAGACUCCUACGGGAGGCAGCAGUAGGGAAUCUUCCGCAAUGGGCGAAAGCCUGACGGAGCAACGCCGCGUGAGUGAUGAAGGUCUUCGGAUCGUAAAACUCUGUUAUUAGGGAAGAACAAAUGUGUAAGUAACUAUGCACGUCUUGACGGUACCUAAUCAGAAAGCCACGGCUAACUACGUGCCAGCCGCCGCGGUAA